AUGUUAUACUUAAAUUCAAAUGUGGUAAAGCUUGCUUCUGUUUUUCACUUUCAGGGAGCUGAAUUCAAAGGCUUUGAAGUUCAGGAUGAAAAUAGCAGUGUCCCGGUUCGCGCUGGACGAAAUGCAUGUAAACGUGAUCGUGUUUCAGCAAAGUCGUCAAAGAGGAUACGUCAAAGGCGGUCUCUUCCAGGGCCCCCUUUAGUAGAAAGCACAGGUUCACAAGAUUCUCAAAAUGAUUCAGGUUCUGUUCAGCAAAUUCACAGUCAAGAGUCUCUAAAGGACACAUCAGUAGAUGAUGGUGGUGAUGAUGGAGGAUUGGAGAAGCGUACCAGGAGAAAAAGAGGGUCGACAAAACAGGAGACCCAGUCAACUCCAAGAAUCAAAAUCAAGUUGGUGGCUAAAAAGAAAGUGGUUACACUCCCAUCAGUGCAAUGUAAAUCUGGUAAAAAACAGAAGGAAAUCAAAUCUGAAGUUACAGAGAGUCAGUGUGCCCAAAUCUCAAGUGCUCAUGUAAAAUUAAAAACAAAUGUACCAGCCAGUGAAUGCAGUGCUGGUGAGGCAAAAGAGGAGGUUUGUACUAGAAGGCGAGGAAGAUCUGCUGACAAGAAAUCAGAAUCCACUCCACAAACAAAUCCUGAAAAAGAGGCCAAUGAGCAAAAACUGAAGCUGAGGAAAUCAACUCGAAGGUCUCAAAAUCCACUGCCCAGUGAAAGUAUAGAGCCAAAAUCUGAUGAAAAGUCAGCAGAAGUAGGAUCAGAGGUGAAUAAGCUUGUGAUUAGGAGACAACGUCUAAGGUCCUCAAAUGUUCCACAGGAAUCUGGUGACCAGAGUUUAGCAGAGUCGCUGUUGGAGGUCUCCACAAUUGAUGAAUCCAGGCCACCUUCAAAGAAGAAAAAAGAUAAAAAGAAAAAGAAGAAGAAAAAUCGCAAAGAAUCCGAAAGGAGAAAGGAGCCUCAUUCAUCAUCAGCAAAAGAUCUUGGCCCUUCAUCCGAUGAUCCUCAAAAGCUUGCUUUCGGAAAUGAUUUUGUCGGAAUUCCAGGUCUAAGACUUACCAGGAUACGAAAUCCCAAAGCCAGGUCUCGCAAGAAACGCUGCAAGUUUGUGUGGACUCUCACACUGGUGAAAAGCAAAAGCAAAGAUUCCCAAAUUCAAGAGAAUCUAAGUAAAACCCAAGAAAGCAAAAGCAAUGAUUCCCAAGUCCAAGAUGACCUCAGCAGAACACAAGAAAUCAAAAGCCAAGAUUCUCAAGUCCAAGAGAUUCCAAGCCCCAGCACAGAGGCAGAACUUCCUGUUAAAUGUGAUGAGGAAGUAGAUGUUUCUACAGAAUCAGAAUCCACAUCUGCUCCUUCCAACAUUGCGGAAACCGGUUCUUCACAGGAGUCACAAAACGUAGAGAACACUGCCAGUGCCCUAAUUCCCAAAAGCCCAGUGAACCCCAUGGCUAUUGAGAAGGUUGAGGAGAUCCCAGAAAAGGAAAAUGAGGAGCUUCUUGAAAGGUCAGAAAUUACAACAGAAGCACAUCCGGAAGAGGCCACUCAGACUGACCCAGAAGAUCCGAUCAGUAGGGAGCCCGUUCCACCACUUCAAAUCAAAGUUGUCUCCUCACCAGGUAAGAACAAAAGUCUAAAGCAGUCCUUUUUAAUUCAGCAAAUCACAACUUCACCUGAAAUAAAGAACCUGCAAAAGACCUUCAGCAUUCAGAGAAGAGUGAAAAUGUAUUGGAAAUGA
rnacentral:lncRNA from 1 species